rnacentral:tmRNA from 1 species
GGGGGUGCCUUGAUUCGACAGAGGUAUCUUACAAUAAUGCGCAUACCGAGUUUGGGAAACUCGUAAAACAGCCCAACAAUGUACCUGGAAACAAGUACUCUAAAGUAAAAUCACCUUUUGGUGCUUUUGCUCCAGCAUUCGCGUAAUCGCGGCUGGUGCAGAUUCGUUUGACGCUCGAUAAAUCGAGUUCUGUAUCAUAUACAUCGAGAUUGGUCUUAAGGAAUUUUCUGCCUUAAUUCUGAAAUUAAUUAGAGAUCGACUUUAUACUGUUUCGUUUACUUAAUAGGUAUAUCGUUUAAAACAAAAAAGUAAAAUAAGUAUGUAGAUCCAUUCUUGUGGACCUUAUGGACGGGGGUUCAAACUCCCCACCUCCACAA